AUCCGUUUUUAUAGAUAUUAGUGUAGGCUAUGUUAACUGUUACUGGGUAACGUUAAACUUACACCAGACAUUCCAUAGUAUUGCAUAUUAACGCUAGCAUUUAAAAAUAGUUGAAUUAACAUUAUUAUAAUUGUAGGAUAACCUGUGCAUAAAGUGCAUGUUUCUAAAAUGCUUUUGCUGUUACUUUACAAGAAAAGUAAAAGUCUGGACAUUUAGUAUUUGAAAAGACAUAUUUUCUAAAAUGAUAUUCAAGCCUACAACGUUAAAUCUUUUGGGGAUGAUUAAUGUUAGGCCUUAUUUCCGGGGCUUUUAUCAUUUGAAUUGAAAGUGUUUCACAAAAGGCGCCUAAAACAACAGGUAACUUAAUGGUUACACCAGCUGGCGGCGCUGCAGUCUCAUUGACCUCCUUCUGGAGGAAGAUACAGUGUCUUACAAACUUUGUUUCAACUUCCAAUAUGUCCUACAUCUUCUUCGUACUUGUCAUAUUUUUGUCCCUUUACCAUACAUUAUUUUAUUUACAUAGUCAAUCGGCACAAACAGUGGAAUUAAAGAUAACCUUAGAGUGCUAUGUCAGUUAAUUCAUAUUCAUCAUUUAAUUUAUUUGUUUAGGUUAACGUUCGUACUUCGGGUGAAUAUUUUGACUUGUGAUGAAUCUGACUGGUAAAAACAGUUGAUUUAUCUUGAACUGUGACUUCAUUGCUGCGGUUCUGUUGUCAUGACAAUAAGCCACUAUGUUACGCCAUCUCAUUUAAAAAUCGUGCAAGUUUUUGAUUAUCCUCUUAAUGAACAAGAUUAACAGAAGCGGCCAUUCAGCAAAAGUACCGAAGGCUACAAACUAUAUAUUUAACAAAACAUAUAGGCAUAUAAUCUCAGAUUUUCAAGAUUAUUAAAAGCGGCAACGUGAAGCACCUUUGAGACAAAGCACAAAUUAGCACAAGUAGGACAAUGAAAUUAGGUAAAACCUCCUUACCUGUCAUUUGACAGAAUACAAUGUGACUAGAUUAAUGUGCAGAUUUUACUUCUGGCACAGGCCAUUUCAAUUAAAGUAGAGACUUAGAAUUCAGAAUGUACUGAGAGCAGAACAUAGAAUUUACUUAAUAGUUUUUCUUUUAUUAUGAUUGUUCAACCCAAGAUUGUGGAGGUUGUGCAAAGAGUCGUAACAUUGUGUCUAGCGGAACCUAAUGUAGUUACAAGGAACCUGUUGACAAAGCUUAUUAAAGUAAAUGUUAGUAUUUUAACUGCAUUGCCAGAAUUCAGUCGGAAAUACAGUAGACCUACACCUUUGAAGGACUGCAGUAUAAGUAAUGUUAAUGUUUGUGAGUUGUUACAGUUCAUCAUAUUUUCCGUGUGUAUUUUCAACUAUUCUGUAGAUUCCAAACAUUCAGACGAGAGGAGGGUGGCGGACCAGCCCGGAGACGCAGAUGUAGCACAAGACGACAAAUAACCUUCAGAGUGUCUGUGCUGAGGAGCAGCACAUUGACCUGUUACAGGUCUCAUAGGGAUGCUACUCCUCCCUGUCGGGUCGUCGUCCCUUUAGACCUUGACGAACAGGAGUUUGUUCAAGUCCUUCAAGAAAACAUCCCCGCGUUGCCUGAACACUUUGAGCUUUGCCGAGUCAAUGGGCAGCGCAGCAUAAUAGUGUUGGAGGAGCAGUGCCCAAGGGACAUACAUGCCCAGAAUGCCCUAGGGCGCUCUUGUCUCUACCUACGCCCCAAGGAUGUUAUGUCAAACCCCUCCAUACCAGUGGAACAAACACCAGCUGCACCACCAAUUGCAGUUGGGACAACUUCUCCUGCUCCAUCUCCACCAAUCCACACCUC